rnacentral:precursor_RNA from 1 species
AACUGUACAGUUAAAUCGUACGGCGUGCUAGUUGUAUGAACCUACGCUUUAACUGUACAGUUCU